rnacentral:rRNA from 1 species
CAGUCGUGCCGGCGUUGGAUUCAGCUUGCUUCGCGGAGCAGGCGUAUUUCCGCGCAUGGCAGGUCAGCGUCAGUUUUGCGCGGCGUGAAAAGGCUCGGGUAAGGUAGCUCUCUUCGGGGAGUGUUAUAGACCUGGGCAGAUGCGCUGCGCGGGACUGAGGAUUGCAGCGGACACCUGUUCGAUAGCGUGCUAGCGGACGCGGGAGCGGCGGUGCACCGGAACAGGCAAGCCAGCGGUUCGCUAAGGAUGCUGACGU